rnacentral:rRNA from 1 species
CUACGGGGCGCACCAGUGGGGAAUUUUGGACAAUGGGGGCAACCCUGGUCCAGCCAUGCCGCGUGAGUGAAGAAGGCCUUCGGGUUGUAAAGCUCUUUCAGCCGGGAAGAAAUCGCAUGGGUCAAUACCCUGUGCGGAUGACGGUACCGGAAUAAGAAGCACCGGCUAACUACGUGCCAGCAGCCGCGGUAAUACGUAGGGUGCGAGCGUUAAUCGGAAUUACUGGGCGUAAAGCGUGCGCAGGCGGAUGCUUAAGUCAGAUGUGAAAUCCCCGGGCUUAACCUGGGAAUUGCAUUUGAAACUGGGUGUCUAGAGUGCGUCAGAGGGGGGUGGAAUUCCACGUGUAGCAGUGAAAUGCGUAGAUAUGUGGAGGAACACCAAUGGCGAAGGCAGCCCCCUGGGAUGACACUGACGCUCAUGCACGAAAGCGUGGGGAGCAAACAGGAUUAGAUACCCCUGUAGUC